rnacentral:rRNA from 1 species
GAUGAACGCUGGCGGCGUGCUUAAUACAUGCAAGUCGAACGGAGUGUAGCAAUACACUUAGUGGCGAACGGGCGAGUAACGAGUUGGUGACCUGCCCCGAAGUGUGGGAUAACAGUCCGAAAGGAUUGCUAAUACCUCAUGUGGUUGCCGGGCUUAGAAGCCGGUAACUAAAGCAGUAAUGCGCUUCGGGAGGGACCUGCUUCCCAUCAGCUAGUUGGUGAGGUAACGGCUCACCAAGGCUACGACGGGUAAGGGACCUGAGAGGGUGGUCCCUCGCAAUGGCACUGAAACACGGGCCAUACACCUACGGGUGGCAGCAGUAGGGAAUAUUGGGCAAUGGGCGAAAGCCUGACCCAGCAACGCCGCGUGUGCGAUGAA